AUAUCACAUCAGUUCCCAUACGAUCACUGAAGUUAAGCAAUGUCAAGUCUGGUCAGUAUCUAGAUGGGUGACCGUUUGGGAAUACU